GAUUAGAGUUUGAUCCUGGCUCAGAUUGAACGCUGGCGGCAGGCCUAACACAUGCAAGUCGAGCGGUAACAUUUCAAAAGCUUGCUUUUGAAGAUGACGAGCGGCGGACGGGUGAGUAAUGCCUGGGAAUUUGCCCAUUCGAGGGGGAUAACAGUUGGAAACGACUGCUAAUACCGCAUACGCCCUACGGGGGAAAGGAGGGGACCUUCGGGCCUUCCGCGAAUGGAUAAGCCCAGGUGGGAUUAGCUAGUAGGUGAGGUAAUGGCUCACCUAGGCGACGAUCCCUAGCUGUUCUGAGAGGGUGAUCAGCCACACUGGGACUGAGACACGGCCCAGACUCCUACGGGAGGCAGCAGUGGGGAAUAUUGCACAAUGGGCGAAAGCCUGAUGCAGCCAUGCCGCGUGUGUGAAGAAGGCCUUCGGGUUGUAAAGCACUUUCAGCGAGGAGGAAAGGUUACUGGCUAAUAUCCAGUAGCUGUGACGU
rnacentral:rRNA from 1 species